CACAACGUUGAAACAUCACUUCCUGUACGAUCACCGAAGUUAAGUAACGUCGAGUCUAGUCAGUAUUUUGAUGGGUGAUCGCUUGGGAAUACAAGGUGCU